GCAAGUCGAGCGAUGGAUUAAGAGCUUGCUCUUAUGAAGUUAGCGGCGGACGGGUGAGUAACACGUGGGUAACCUGCCCAUAAGACUGGGAUAACUCCGGGAAACCGGGGCUAAUACCGGAUAACAUUUUGAACCGCAUGGUUCGAAAUUGAAAGGCGGCUUCGGCUGUCACUUAUGGAUGGACCCGCGUCGCAUUAGCUAGUUGGUGAGGUAACGGCUCACCAAGGCAACGAUGCGUAGCCGACCUGAGAGGGUGAUCGGCCACACUGGGACUGAGACACGGCCCAGACUCCUACGGGAGGCAGCAGUAGGGAAUCUUCCGCAAUGGACGAAAGUCUGACGGAGCAACGCCGCGUGAGUGAUGAAGGCUUUCGGGUCGUAAAACUCUGUUGUUAGGGAAGAACAAGUGCUAGUUGAAUAAGCUGGCACCUUGACGGUACCUAACCAGAAAGCCACGGCUAACUACGUGCCAGCAGCCGCGGUAAUACGUAGGUGGCAAGCGUUAUCCGGAAUUAUUGGGCGUAAAGCGCGCGCAGGUGGUUUCUUAAGUCUGAUGUGAAAGCCCACGGCUCAACCGUGGAGGGUCAUUG
rnacentral:rRNA from 1 species